rnacentral:rRNA from 1 species
UACGUAGGGUGCGAGCGUUGUCCGGAAUUAUUGGGCGUAAAGAGCUCGUAGGCGGUUUGUCGCGUCUGCUGUGAAAACUCGGGGCUUAACCCCGGGCCUGCAGUGGGUACGGGCAGACUAGAGUGCGGUAGGGGAGACUGGAAUUCCUGGUGUAGCGGUGAAAUGCGCAGAUAUCAGGAGGAACACCGGUGGCGAAGGCAGGUCUCUGGGCAUUAACUGACGCUGAGGAGCGAAAGCAUGGGGAGCGAACAGG